UCCAUAGCAAGCAAAAUGGGGUUCUUGUCAUUUCUUGGAAGGGUCCUCUUUGCUUCUGUUUUCAUUCUCUCUGCUUGGCAAAUGUUCAAUGAUUUUGGAGAAGAUGGUGGACCUGCUGCUAAGGAAUUGGCUCCCAAAGUGGCUGGUCUGCAGGAUUUUCUUGUAUCCAAGUUGGGGACAGGGAUACCAAAAAUUGAUGUUAGGCAUGUGGUAGCAGCAUUUAUGGCUCUAAAAGGAAUGGGUGGUUUGCUAUUAGUAUUUGGCAGCAUGACUGGUGCUGUUCUACUGAUAUGUUACUUGAUAAUGGCCACUCCACUUCUGCACGAUAUCAGCCACUUUAACAUUGGAGAACCACAGUAUUUCAUUGUUCUACAAGAGUUCCUCCAGUGCCUGGCAUUCCUUGGUGCAUUGCUGUUUUUCGUGGGGAUGAAGAACUCGAUUAAUCGGAGGCUAACAAAGAAAAAGACCCCCAAGUCCAAGACAACUUAGGAUACAUCAUUGAGAAGAGGGGAUUGGAUUGAUUAUUCAUGGUUUGUUUGGUUAGCUUUUAUGAUUACAAGUGACUAAUUAACCCUCUCACCUGCAAAUUUUUGCAUAUUUUUUUUCCUCUUAAAACUAACUGUUAUUGAAUUUAUUGCCAGUGUGAGGAGGUUUUGAAAAUUGUUAUAUUAAGCUGUUGCAAUGUCUUCACUUAAUAGUGUUACUAGUCACAGGAUAUUUG
rnacentral:misc_RNA from 1 species